rnacentral:rRNA from 1 species
GAUGAACGCUGGCGGCGUGCCUAAUACAUGCAAGUCGAGCGAACAGAUGAGGAGCUUUCUCCUCUGACGUUAUCGGCGGACGGGAGAGUAACACGUGGAUAACCUACCUCUAAGACUGGGAUAACUUCGGGAAACAGGAGCUAAUACCGGAUAAUAUAUUGCACCGCAUUGUUCAAUAGUGAAAGUAGGUUUUGCUGUCACUUAUAGAUGGAUCCGCGCCGCAUUCGCUAGUUGGUUAGGUAACGGCUUAACCAGGCAACGAUGGGAAGCCGACCUGAACGGGAGAAUGCACAGACGGGCACAGAGACACGUCACAGACUCUUGCGGGAAGAAACAGUAGGGACUCUUCCGGGAGGGGGGAAAGCCUGACGGAGCAACACGGGCGGAGUGAUGAAGGUCUUAGGAUCGGAGAAUGCUGUUAGUAGUGAAGAACAAAUGCUUAAGUAACUAUGCACAUAUUGACAGUACCUAAUGAGAAAGCCACGGCUAACUCCGUG